AGAGUUUGAUCCUGGCUCAGGAUGAACGCUAGCUACAGGCUUAACACAUGCAAGUCGAGGGGCAUCAGGAAGAAAGCUUGCUUUCUUUGCUGGCGACCGGCGCACGGGUGAGUAACACGUAUCCAACCUGCCCUUUACUCGGGGAUAGCCUUUCGAAAGAAAGAUUAAUACCCGAUAGCAUAAUGAUUCCGCAUGGUUUCAUUAUUAAAGGAUUCCGGUAAAGGAUGGGGAUGCGUUCCAUUAGGUUGUUGGUGAGGUCACGGCUCACCAAGCCUUCGAUGGAUAGGGGUUCUGAGAGGAAGGUCCCCCACAUUGGAACUGAGACACGGUCCAAACUCCUACGGGAGGCAGCAGUGAGGAAUAUUGGUCAAUGGGCGCUAGCCUGAACCAGCCAAGUAGCGUGAAGGAUGAAGGCUCUAUGGGUCGUAAACUUCUUUUAUAUAAGAAUAAAGUGCAGUAUGUAUACUGUUUUGUAUGUAUUAUAUGAAUAAGGAUCGGCUAACUCCGUGCCAGCAGCCGCGGUAAUACGGAGGAUCCGAGCGUUAUCCGGAUUUAUUGGGUUUAAAGGGAGCGUAGGUGGACUGGUAAGUCAGUUGUGAAAGUUUGCGGCUCAACCGUAAAAUUGCAGUUGAUACUGUCAGUCUUGAGUACAGUAGAGGUGGGCGGAAUUCGUGGUGUAGCGGUGAAAUGCUUAGAUAUCACGAAGAACUCCGAUUGCGAAGGCAGCUCACUGGACUGCAACUGACACUGAUGCUCGAAAGUGUGGGUAUCAAACAGGAUUAGAUACCCUGGUAGUCCACACAGUAAACGAUGAAUACUCGCUGUUUGCGAUAUACAGUAAGCGGCCAAGCGAAAGCAUUAAGUAUUCCACCUGGGGAGUACGCCGGCAACGGUGAAACUCAAAGGAAUUGACGGGGGCCC
rnacentral:rRNA from 1 species